GCCUGAGUGGCUCAGUUGGUUGAGUGUUCAACUUUGGCUCAGGUCAUGAUCUCAGAGUUCGUGGGUUUAAACCCCACAUCAGGCU
rnacentral:tRNA from 1 species